GUGAGGGGGAAGAAGGAGAGGAGAGAGAAGAAUGCAUUUUUCCCCACAUUCUAGUAUUGUGCAACUAUACUAGGUGUGGUUGAUAUCCACAUGUUGAAUAGGAAAUAGUGUUUAGUUUCCCUGACAUAACUUGGUAGUUUAUUUCCAAUUUUUAAUAAGACAUUUCUAGAACAAUCAAGAGGACCAAAUUAGAAUAUAUGAAAGUGACAUUGUCAAGGUAAACACAGCCCUUAAAAUCAUCCACCACUUGGAAUUUAUUAGCCUCAUUCUUAUUCCCUCCCCCUACCAUAGGCCAGACAGCCAUAAUGGCAGUAGAUGGAGAACGGGCUGUAUGUGUCUUCCUUGUCAUAGCUUAACCUUGUGGACAAUAUGAACCAAGUUAGACAAUUUAAGAAGAAUGGAGGCACCUUGGUGUGCUCUGUUUCUCUCUGCGUUCCUAGGCCUGGUAGACAGGCUCUAUUUGUUUGAGAACCAAUGUCUCUUCAGAGUCUUACAAGAUAAAUGAACAAAAUGUUUGAGUAGAUAAAUGCAGAGCAAGCCAAGAUGACGAAUACUGAACAUAAGAGCCAAGCAAAUGUUAGAAUCUUAAUUUACAGGAUCUACAUUAUACCAUCACUACUUAGUAACCGUCCCUGGUGGGUGCUACGUACCCGUUGCUAUUAAAACAUUUACACAACCAAUCUAGAAAACUGACUCUCAGGCCCUCGUGAAGAUCCCUAAUCCACAGAGGGCCCAGGUUUCUUCCUUCCAGUGUCAGGACCUGAUGCUCAAGUCUGAGGAUCAGCUGGAUGACAGAAGGGUGUUUCAGAACUCCUGGGAACCAGAACAGAGAUCUUAAGUGACAGAAGAUUUCAGAAAGAACAGCUCUCCUCCGCUGCAUUGGGUGAUGCCAUUUUUCCCAGGUGAGCACACACUAAGUAGAGUGGAGCUUAGGUUGACCUUUCCUUCUGUGGCAUACUCAGUGUAGUGUACAUCAGGACUGUCAUGAGCCUGUUGUUUUGAGAGGUCUCUGCUAGCCACCAGCACUCAAAUUGACCAAGUGUUCACCAGUGGAUAAACAGAUAAAGAUGCCCCCCUUUCAAUCCUCACUCCUGUGAUUUGUGACAAUAUAGAGGAACCCCAGGGGCACACAUUAAAUGAAAUAAUGUUUGAGGUGCCCAAAGAUAAGUGUUGUACGAUCUCAUCCAUAGACAUUGUAUAGAUGUAUAGAGGUCUAUACAUUGUAUUAACAGAGACUAAGGUGGGGAAGGAGAGGGAGCUAGCAAAGAAGUUGAUCUUUGGGUACAAACUUACAGUUAGGAUAAGCAAGUUUUGGCAUAUGACUGCACAGUAGAGUGACUACAUCAAUGAUAACAGUUAAUAUUUCAAAAAACCUAGAAGAGAUGAUCCUCCUUAUUGGUAUUAUAAUAAUUGAAGAAAGGAUUUUAAUAUUCUACUGCCAAGACAGGAUAAAUGUUUUGAAGCCAUGAGUAUAAUUCCCAUGACUCGAUCACUGGAUAAUGUUUGUAUAAUGUGUAACUAUUGUGUUAGUUUUCUGUCAGCCUAACACAGACUAGAGUCAUCUGGAAGAAGGCACCUCAGCCAAGAAAAUGACCUCUUCAGAUUGGCUUGUGGGCAAGUCUGUGGGGGGGCAUUUUCUUAGUAAAGGAUUGAUGUUCGAGGGCGCAGUCCACUGCGGGUGGUGCCAACCCUGACAGGAGGUUCUGAGUUGUAAAAACAAACGCUGAGGGAGCCAUGGGGAGCAGGCCAGGAAGCAGUGUUUCUCUUGCUUCCAGGUGACUGCCCUGACUUUCCGUCCUAAUAGACUAAGCUGGAGUUUUGUAAGGCCUUCCCAAGCUGCUUUUGGCCACGAUGUUUAUCACAGCAACAGAAAGUAAAUUAGAACAUGCAUAUUGAAGUUCAUGUUGUACCCCCACAGAUGUAUAUAAUCAUUUUAUAUACAUACAUAUAUACAUACAUAUGUCCGUAAGUGUGUGUGUGUGUGUGUGUGUGUGUCCGUGUGUCCGUGUGCACGUAUGCACGUGUGCAUAUCUACAGCUGCCGAAAAUCUGCUGUUGAGAGAAAGGAAGUCACCAGUGAGAGGUGGCUAUAUGCGAAACUCCUCUUUUCUUUGCUGCUACAUGGGCACUCUCCAGGGAGGAAGCUUUGAGCACAAGGAAGGGGGAGGCUUUUAACUUCAGCAUUUCUGUUCCUAGUCCUAAGCUAGGGGUGGUUUGCUGAGACCGAAAACUCCAUCAGAGGAAGACAUGUCCGCUAACUGCGGCUAAGUAUGAAUUCCUACCGGGAUUAGAAUUCGCACACCCUGACUUCCUAACUGAGACUCUCUUGGAGAACUGGGCCAAACUGGAACUUUAGAAACCUUGGUAGAAAACAGGAGUCUUGGCUUCUAGAAGACAGGAGGGACCAGAAGGGUCUGAAAGGCCCCUGCAUCAAAACCCUAAACUUCUGGUUGUCUUGGUUGAUGCGAUCCUUGAACAGGACUUCCUCAGAAGUGCCCCAGCAAAGCCAGCCUGAUCCAGCACCUCCAGGUGUGAGCAGAGCAGCCUCAGGAAUUCCCAGGUCCAGAUACUUCUAAGAAGAGGCACAGAGAGUUGUUAGAGAAUCCCUUGGUAUGGUAUUUUGCCCAGCGUCAACUGUCAACUUGACAUAGUCAAGAGCCAAUUGCUAAGAGAGUCUCAAAUGAGUGUCCUUUUCAGGUCAGUCUGUGGGUAUGGAUGUAAGAGACUGCCUUGAUUACUAGGUGAUGUUGGGUGUGCCCACUGCAGGAGGCACUAUUACCUGGGCUGUAUAAGAAAGCUAGCUAAGCGUAAGCCUGUGAGUGAGUCAGCAUCUAACAUUCACCUUUGCUUUCUGCUCCUUUCCUGCCCUUGACUUCCCUCGAUGAUGGACAGCAAUCUGGAAGCUGAAAUAAGCCCUUUCCUUCUUAAAGGGGGUUUUGGUCACGAUAUUUGUGGCAGCAACUGAAUCAAACUGGAAUAUUUGGAAUCUACGCCUUUUGAUGGGACUAUAAACAUCUUUUCACAGCUUCUGAACUACAUCCCAUAAUAUACAUGACCGCAUCCAUCACAGACAGCCAAGAGGCUGCUUCUGGGAUUUUUUUCCAUCCAGUAAUAUCUCUCUGGGUAAGAUGAUACACACGUCACUCACUUCAGGCCAGGGACAGGUGUGUUGUCUUUUGAUUUUUCUGCACACCGGUCUUCACCACCAUGUCUCAUGCCCAGCCUGCAUCAAGAGAUGGCUUGCCCCGAGCCAAUAUGAUUACAGAGGAAAAACAACAAAACCCUCUGACAUGGCUGGCUUUGAUGGGUCUAGUGUUAUUUGCUGCCCCCUUGUGGUCAGACUGGAUUCCCUCAUUCGCCUCUCCAGGACGUAUAGCAGGUUUCUGAAGAGAAAGCUUGGCAGAGUUUUGUUAGGAGGAACAGAGAGAAAGGUUGAAACUGGCGAGAGUUUUAAAUAAGAAAAGACUAAUGAAAUGGUUGCUACACUUGACACUCUCUGACCCUGUAGUCGUCUGUGGCAGGAAAUGGAUGGUUGUCGAGAAUCCGUUUGGGGCGCCGACUCCAGGUCCCUAUAAUUUAUCAUUUUUAUAUAUUCCAUCUUAGACCUUUUUAUAACUUGCACUUGCUUAUCUUAAAUUGCCUUCUCAGACCCUCACAACUCACUUAAGCUCCCAUAUCCUCAGACCUUUAUACAUCUUAAAUUUCUUUCUUAAAGGGCCGAGAUGUGGAGAAGUUGCCCGCCCCUCUCUUCCCUUCCUCCAACAACAGAGUCCCAUUGAGCUUUGUCCUUACCCACCCCACCCAGAAGAGAAACCAAGUUCCCCACCUAAGGACUGCGGAAUCCAGACACACCAAAGUGACACAAAUACAAUACCCAGACUUCACUGUGUGAUGUGUAGGAGAAACUUAAUAAAUGUAGCUCUGACCUCUCAUGCUCCCUUCUCCUUUUAUCUAUUACAGUAGUUUCAACCUUCCUGAUGCUGUGAACCCUUUAAUAAGUUCCUCAUGUUGUUGUGACCCCCAACAUAAAAUUAUUAUCAUUGCUA
rnacentral:sRNA from 1 species